GCCGUAGCUCAGUGGUAGAGUAUAUGUUUCGCAUGCAAAAGGUCCCAGGUUCAAUCCCUGACAUCUCCC